GAGAGACGCUGGCGGCGUGCCUAACACAUGCAAGUCGAGCGAGGUGUAUACACCUAGCGGCGGACGGGUGAGUAACACGUGGGUGACCUGCCUCAAAGUGGGGAAUAGCCUCUCGAAAGGGAGAUUAAUACCGCAUAACAUACGCAUAUUUAACGCUGCGUAUCAAAGGAGAAAUCCGCUUUGAGAUGGGCCCGCGGCGCAUUAGCUAGUUGGAGAGGUAACGGCUCACCAAGGCGACGAUGCGUAGCCGACCUGAGAGGGUGAUCGGCCACAUUGGAACUGAGACACGGUCCAGACUCCUACGGGAGGCAGCAGUGGGGAAUAUUGCACAAUGGGGGAAACCCUGACGCAGCAACGCCGCGUGAGUGAGGAAGGCCUUCGGGUCGUAAAGCUCUGUCAGAUGGGAAAGAAAUGGGUGGGGGCUAAUAUCGCCCAUCCUUGACGGUACCAUCAGAGGAAGCACCGGCUAACUCCGUG
rnacentral:rRNA from 1 species